CUGUCACCUAGGCUGGAGUGCAGUGGCACAAUCUCUGCUCACUGCAACCUCCACCUUUCACACCUCUAAAUUCAAGAUUCUCCUGCCUCAGCCUCUGAGAGCUGGGAUUGGAGCUGUGUACCACCAGGCCCGGCUAAGUUUUGUCCUUUUUUUUCUUUGCUUGAGAUGGAGUCUUGCUCUUUCACCAGGAUGGAGUGCAGUGGUGCGAUCUCAGCUCACUGAAACCUCUGCCUCCCAGGUUCAAGCAAUUAUCCUGCUUCAGUCUCCUGAGUAGCUGGGAUGACCGGCGCACACCACCAUGCCCAGCUAAUUUUUGUAUUUUUAGUAGAGAUGGGGUUUUGCCAUAUUGGUCAGGCUGGUCUUGAACUCCUGACCUCGUGAGCUGCCCACAUCGGCCUCCCAAAGUGCUAGGAUUACAGGCAUGAACCAGCGUGUCUUGCCUAAUUUUGGUAUUUUUAAUAGAAAUGGGGUUUUCCCAUGUUGGCCAGGCUGGCGUCGAACUUCUGACCUCAAGCGAUCUACCCAUCUCAGCCUCCCAAAGUGUUGGAAUUACAGGCAUGAGCCAGCUCUAACAUUCAGCAAACACUUACUGAGCUUCUGCUACACACAGUGCUGAUACAGAUGUUGGGAUACAGUGGCGACUAUGACAAGGCUUCCCCUUCUGUGAGUUCAUGGGCUAGCUGGGGCAGACAGCUCACCAACAGCAGACCUGUCAUGUCAGGUGGUGAAUUUAGGGUCCUGGAAGGAAAGUGACAGUGUACCUGGGUUGGAUAUUUGAGGACGGUUUAAUCAAGGGAGUACUUCCAAAGGUGAAGGCAAGGUCCAGAGGAAGCCCAAAGGUUGGUGUAGCACCUGGGCUGCAAACGGAGAAGGGGAGGGGCACCUAGAACCUGGGGAGAGGCCCAGGGGAGAGGCUUCUGCAAGAGUAGAGGCCUCAGGUCCAGGAGCAUGGCCAGCAUGCAGAGCCCUGCAGGGAGGGAACCAACACGGGAAAUCAGAACCUGCACCUCACUCUCCUUCCCUCCUCCCACACUGUCUUACCUGCUCUCUGCUUGGAGUGGGGGGACUGCUGAUGUAGGCCCUACCAGUGCCAGCCUGCCAGGGCCUAGGACGGUGCAUCUGGAGGGGGCGGAUGAAAGGAGUGAUUGCCAUACAGUAGGGCAGCAGGGAAAGGAGCAGUCGCUGCAGGGGCUGCUGUUUUGGGAGGGGUGGGAAGGAAAAUUCUCUUUGAGCAGAGCCCUGAAUGCAUUGAGGAGCCUGCUACGUGGAGCAUUCCAGGGAAAGGGGAGAGCAGGCGCACUGCUCUGAGGCAGGAGUGUGUGACCUCACCACAGGAGACCGAGUGUCUGGAGCGGAAUGAGCAGGAGGAGUGGGGCAGGGGGUCGGGGAGGAGCCGGGGCUGCCCCUGCAAAGCCUCACGGGCCUGAUGUUAUUCAGAUGGAGAUGGAUAGCAAGGGAGUGACGGGAGCUGACCUAGGAUCUUUCUGGCUGGAGCAGGUAUGGGGGACACUAUUUCUCUUACCAUCAGGUCCACAGAGUUUAGCAUUUGCCAAGCACGGUUCAUUAAGGGGACAGCUAGCCACCCUAAGACCGGAGGCGGUGGGGAGGUUAGUCCUGGUCCCAAGAAUGACGGCCAGCCUGUCAGCAAGGCCACGUGUGACUCCUCGCCUGAGCCUGUACCAAGGGAGAGGGAGGAAAUAUAAACCCGCAGAUGACUCCCUUCCCCUGGGAGUUAGCAGUGUAGUCAGGGAGACAAGCAAACACACAGGAAGACAGAGAACAACUGUCAUUGGAAGGUUGGACUCUAGGAUUUAAGGGCUGAGGCCGGGCGCGGUGGCUCACAACUGUAAUCCCAGCACUUUGGGAAGCCGAGGCAGGUGGAUCACGAGGUCAGGAGUUCGAGACCAGCCUGGCCACCAUAGUGAAACUCCAACUCUACUAAAAAUACAAAAAAAUUAGCUGGGUGUGGUGGUGGCACCUGUAAUCUCAGCUACUUCAGAGGCUAAGGGAGGAGAAUCGCUUCAACCCAGAGGUUGCAGUGAGCCGAGGUCGCGCCACUGCACUCCAGCCCAGAUGACAGUGCAAGACGCCAUCUCAAAAAAAAAAAAAAAAAAAGGACUUAAGGACUGAAGCCUCUGCCAAGUUCCGAAUGGGGUGGAGUUAGCAAGUGAAGCUUCAGGAAGAGGCGCAUACUGAAAAACGCUCUUAAUUCCCCUAACAUCAGCUGCCAGUGCCCAGGCGCAAGCGGGGGUGCAGCUGGCCCCAGCGUAAAGCUUUGCAUGGACCCUCGCGCUCCUGGAAACAAAUUCAAGGUAUUUUUCCUCCUCUUGGAGCUUGUGGGUUACCUUAUCUUCAUUAGAUUACUAGCUUUUCUUUUUUUCCUUUAUUAAAAAGCUAUUUAAUUUUGAACAGAUAAUAUAUGUCUACAGCAUAAAAUUUAAAAGAGAAAAAGAUAUAAAUGAUAACAAAAUACCUUCCCCCUCCCCUGUUUCCCAGAAGCUCAGACCUCAUUCCUGGCAGCUGCUAUUGCAUUACUGUUAAUAUGACCUCAUGUGUUCUUCCAGAAAUACUCAGUGCAUCAAAUACAAUACUUGUGUGUGUUUUCUCCCUGUUUUCCACAAUGGCAGAGAUUGUAGAAACUACCCAUGCUUUUUUUUUCUACUUCUCCGUGUAUUUUUUGGUGGCGUUCCACGUCAAUGAUAAAGAGCGUCUCUGUUCCAUGGCUGCAAGCUUGCUGUAUACUCCGACCAUAAUGGAUUUCCCAGUCCUCAGCUGAUGGGCACUUAGGUAGUUUCCAGCCCUCUGUUCUUUCAAGCAUUGAUGCACCGAGCAGCUUUCUGCCUGUGCCCUUUUGUUAUGGACGUCCACUGAAUGUGGACAGAUGUCGCCCAGGUCUCAAAUGUGUGCCAGUUGGCACUCCUGCAUGAGCGCUGUCUUCUUGCCACCUCAGUGUAGAACUUCUUGAAGGUUGCUAGUCUGAUAGGAAGAGAGGCGUGUCUUAUUGCGGUUUUAUUUGAGUUGAGUUGAAUGGUUUUUUUUGUUUGUUUGUUUUCCCGAUUCCUUCUGUUGUAAAAAACCAGUCUGUGUGUAUCGGCUGGAACCGGGAACAUAGUCACUGUUCUGUGUGAUGAUGCCUGACAGAGGAGCACCCAGGGACACAGAGGAGGGAGCACAAACUCUUUCUGGGCUGGGGCUUCAGGAGGAUCAUCCCAGGGAUGGUGACAUUUAGGCUGGACUUUGACCAAGUCAAGCAAUGGAAGGAAGGACAUUCUAGGCAGAGUGAACACAGGACACAGGAUACAAGGGAGUGGCAAGGGCUGAGUGUGGCGGUGAAAGUUGAAAAUAGACCUCGUUGGUCUCACUGAGGAGUUUCCAAUUUGAUCCCAUAAGAGUCAGAAGUUCAGAGGAGAAAAUAUGAUGUAUGUGGAACAAAUUCAUUUGCUGAGCACUUCCUAUACGCCAGGCACGGUGCUAAGCACUUCACAUAGGUUAAAGGUUCAUCCUCACGAUAUCCUAGUGAGGCAGGGAAAAUGAUUAUCCCCACUUACACAUAAAUUAACUUAUUUAUUUAAUUUAUUUCUGGGGGGAUGGAGUCUUGCUCUCUCACCCAGGCUGGAGUGUAGUGGUGGGAUCUCAGCUCACCACAACCUCCACCUCCCAGGUUCAAGUGAUUCUCCUUCUUCAGCCUUCCAAGUAGCUGGGAUUACAGGCACAUGCCACUACAUCCGGCUAAUUUUUGUAUUUUUAGUAGAGAUGGGUUUCACCAUGUUGGCCAGGCUGGUCUCGAACUCCUGACCUCAGGUGAUCCACCCACCUUGGCCUCCCAAAGUGCUGGGAUUACAGGCGUGAGCUACUGUGCCUGGCCUCAUUUAUUAAUAGUAGUAGUAUUUUUGCUGUUUAACCAAAGAGGAAACAGAGGCUUAGAAGCUAAGUAACUUGUGUGAGGUCACCAAGCCACUACAUGGCAUGACCCUGCUCUCUCCUAACCACGUGGAGAGCAGCAGAGUGAGCUCUUUUCUUGGAUGAGUUGAGGGGGUACUGCCUUUCUCCAGCCUAAAGGAGAUGGAGACUCCCAUAAAGAGCAAAGCUGUUCUGAGAUUUCACAUCCCCUCAAAACAUGCAACCGGUGAUACCAGUUUCUGAAGCAUCCUCUCUAGGUGGUCUGUGCAUAUCCAGCAAAUACAGACACAUUUUCCAUGUUUUCACAUGAAUGGUAGCAUACUGCGCAUGCUCUUCGCACUUGCUGCUUUCCCCACUUCCUCUCUUGGAGGUCACUCCUGAUACGGAAAGAACUUCAUUUGUUUUGUGGCUGCAGAGUGCUCCAUUGUAUGUCUUGUCUUAACUUAUGACCAGUUUUCUUUUUUUUUUUCCUCUUCGUUUGUUUCUUGACCAGUUUUCUAUUUAGAGAAAUUGAGACUAUUUCCAGCAAACAAUGCUGGCUGACAGGAUGCUUCUUUGUGGGGAUAUCUGCAGGGCAGCUUUCUAGAAGGGGAAUUCCCAGCCUGUGUUUGUAGCUGCUAUGGCCUGAAUGUUUGUGUCCCCCCCCCCACAUUUAUAUGAAAAUCCCCGAGGCGAUAAUGGUAGGAGGUGGGCCUCUAAGGAGGUAAUUAGGUUGUGAGGGUAGAGCCUUUGUGAAUGGGAUUAGUGCCUCUAGGCCAGCCUCGGUGGCUCACACCUGCAAUCCCAAUGCUUUGGGAGGCUGAGGCAGGAGGAUCACUUGAGUUUAGGAGUUUGAGACCAGCCUGGGUAACAUGGUGAGACCCCUAAUCUCCACAAAAAUUAAAAAUGGGCCUGGUAUGGUGGCUCAUGCCUAUAAUCCCAGCUACUCAGGAGGCUGAGGCAGGAGCAUUGCUUGAACGCGGGAGGCAGAGGUUGUGGUGAGCCGAGAUCACGCCAUUGCAUUCCAGCCUGGACAACAAGAGUGAAACAAACAAACAAACAAAAAGACACACACAGAAGCAAACCCAAGCUCUGUGCUCCUUCCAACCCUUGCUGGUGCAGGUGCUACCCCACAAGCUUGUCAGAUUGCCCAGGUGACAGGCCAGGCGCAGCCAUCAGGAAGGUCAUUCAGCCAACCCAGAGGAUGUAGACCUUGUCCUCAAGGAGCCCAGGGUGAGUUCUGAUGUGCCCUCUGAAAUACUCUGUCCCUCCUCUCAGACUCCUCCGUAGAGAGCCUGAGUGUGCCAUAUCUCGUGGACUCCCCUGAAGCCUUCCUCUGGCUUCACAGAAUGCUCUGGAACUCUGGGGUCUUGUUAGGGAGUGUGUUCUCAGCUUGUCUGAAGGAGGACUGCAUCCCUAUCCCUCCUGAGUCCUUGGAGGUGCCCAGACUGACCAACAUGGAGAAACACCAUCUCUACUAAAAAUACAAAAUUAGCAGGGCACGGUAGCUACUCAGGAGGCUGAGGCAGGAGAGUCACUUCAACCUGGGAGGUGGAGGUUGCAGUAAGCCGAGAUCACACCAUUGCACUCCAGCCUGGGCAACAAGAGUGAAACUCUGUCUCAAAAACAAACAAAACGAAAUACACCUUAUUCCUUCUCAUUAUUCCAUUUCUUCAGACACCACAUUCCCCACUCCAGGAACAGCUACUAUUUCUGGCCCCAUGUAUGCUCCUUCAAAGCUAUUCUAGGAAUAUAUAAGCACGCAGGUAUGUAUUGUUUUGUUAAGACACCAGGGGUGGCUUAUGAAAUGCAUGUUCUGUAUCCUUGGUUAAGUUUUCCUGGUUUUCUUUUCACUCCCCUGAGAUUCUUACCCCGGUUCCCACCCCUAAACGCUGAGCACAGUGACAGAGAGGAAAGAUGCCUGGAAGGUCUGUGGCCAGCCACUACCCAACAGCUCCGUGAGCUGCAAGUGACCAGAUUGCUCUGAGUCUCACCUUCCCCAUCGAUAAAGCGGGGUCAUAAUGCCCCAAAGGUGUCAUGGAGAGAUGUGGUAUUAGAGAUGACAAGUGUGAUCCUUAUGGAAGAAUUGACAUUCUUUCCAGGUGAUCUGCCUCCUUCCCCAGAGAUGUGGUCACUUGAUGGGUGGGCAGGGGCUGGGCUCUGGACCAAGCGCAACUCCUGAGAGUGGAAGUGACAUGCAGGGAUGGGAAGUGUCUCCUCUGCACUGUGGCUCAGAGGUGCCUGAGUGGGGAGCGAGAGGACAGGGUGACCUAGGAGGGCUGUGUUCUUGGCCUGUGGUUUAGAUGUUGGCACUGAUUAGUUGGUAGUGCCAAAAAAGAGGGUAGAGGGUAGCUCUGCCCUCUUUCGGAAGAUUGGAUGGGCACCCUCCCCACCUUCAGGAAAGCCCAGCCCCAGAAAUAGCUUGGGCUCUCCAGCCACCUUCACUGCAGAGUUUUCUACAGCACAGAAGAGAGCCGAGCCUGAGCAGGCCCCAGCUCUGGGUCCUCCCAGGAGCACCACCCCCCUGAGGCCUCUCCCUGCCUUAGCCCACGCCCUGCCAGAGCACCACCAGCCGUCCAGCCCCAGUCCUGCUCUCACCACCAUCUUCCUUCUUCUUCCAUCAGAGCAUGUUCAGAAGUUAAGGCCCAUAGUUACAUUCAGCCUGGUGGGAACUAAGCUUAAAAACCCAAACCCGGGCCAGGCGCAGUUACUCACACCUGUAAUCCCAGCACUUUGGGAGGUAGAGGUAGACAGAUCAUGAGGUCAGGAGAUCGAGACCAUCCUGGCCAACAUGGUGAAGCCCCAACUCUACUAAAAAUACAAAAAUUAGCCAGGUGUGAUGGCAGGGACCUGUAAUCCCAGCUACUUGGGAAGUUGAGGCAGGAGAAUCUCUUGAACCGGGGAGGCGGAAGUUGCAGUGAGCACAGAUGGCACCACUGCACUCCAGCCUUGGAGACAGAGUGAAACCAAAAACAAAACAAAACAAUAACAACAAUAACAAAAAACCCCAAACCUUUUAGGACACUCAGGCCAAACUAUAGAGGAGGGACCUGCCCAAGGCAGUAGGUGCCAGAGCUGGGACUAGAACUCAAAACUCUGGCGAUGCCCUACCCAGUUCCAGCCAAUUCACUUGCCCAAAGGAAAUGGCAUUCCCAUUCUCUCCCCGCCAACUCCCAACGCUGGGUUCUGAAGGUCCCUGAGGCGAGGGUGGACAGGGAGCCCCCGGACCCCCACAUCAGUAGCAUUUUACAUGGAGCACACUAUUGGUGGGGUUAUUUUUACUGGGAAAACUUUGAGAAGUUUAUGAUUGAAUACAUGUAAAUGUACUAGGAAAUACAGUGUAGAAUGUCCACGGAAGGUAAAGUCUCAAGGACAUCUGGCUUUUUUAGUGGCAGCUUCAGGCUUCUCUCCUAAAGCUCGAGUGGGUGGGAAGGCAUGUCUGUUUUGUUUGGCAAUCCUGGAGGAAAAUAUUAGAGGCCCUGUUCUAAUUAACAGUUCUGCCUUAAGCCAGGUGAUAAUGAUCUGGUUCCUUUUUAUGUAUCUUUCUAUUCCAUAAUGGAUUAGAAGCAGCUUAUAACAAAAACAAUGAAUAACAACAAUCUAUGAUUUUAAAAAGCAGAACCCAGGGAAAAUGGACAGUAAUAAGUCAGUUUGGACAGGAGGAGGAAGAAGGCCAGGAUAAACAAAUAAACAUACAUAAGGGGGCAAUAAAAGCCGAGGGAAAAAAUUAAGCCCGGUAAGGAGAGAGUGUGGAGGAGGAAGGGUAUUGCUCUUUAUGAAUUUAUUUAUUUAGAGACAGGGUCUCACUCUGUUACCCAGGCUGGAGUGCAGAGGUGUGAUCUAAGCUCGCUCAGUUGCUGGGGCUCAAUCUUCCCACCUCAGCGUCCUGAGUACCUGGGACUACAGGCGCACGCCUCCCGCCCUGCUAAUUUUUGUAUUUUUAGUAGAGAUGGGGUUUCACCAUGUUGCCCAGGCUGGUUUCAAACUCCUGGCUUGAAGCCAUCCACCCACCUCAACCUCCCAAAGUGCUGAGAUUACAGGCAUGAGCCACUGUGCCCAGCCUGGGGUAUGGCUCUUUAAUGGAGUGAUUACAGAAGGCCUGUCCUCUCCAAGAAGGAGACAUUUGGAUUGAGACCAAUGGAAAAGAGCAUUGGGUGGCACAGGAAUAGCCGGUGCACAGGCCCUGAGGCGAGUGGACUUAGUGUAUUGAAGGAGUUCAGUGCGGCCGAUAUGGAGCUGUAGGGGGCAGGAGUGAGGGAGGAUUGGAGCACAUGGGGUCUUGCAGGCAUCCUAAUGAUUUGAGUGUUUACCGUGAUGGGGUGGGCCAAGCAGAGGAGUGAGAUCACCUGACUUAGCUUUAACAGGCUCAUCCUGGACGCCGUGUUGAGAAUUGACUUCCACCAUAAAUGUGGCAGCAGGAAGACCAGGCAGAAGGCAAACAAAUGAUAAUGGCUUGGACCAAGUGUGUGGCGGUUGAGGAGGAUGUCAACCACGAAAUGCCUCCAGAUCUUCCAGAUAUUGCCAGAUAUCCUCUGGGAAGCAAAAUCGCCCCUGGAUAAGAACCACUGAAGUAAACUAAGACACCAGGGGCUGCAUGUUCAGAAACUAAAAAGGGACUGGUAGAAAACUGGGGGCAGCAGAGAUUUUUUCCCCCUCAAAUCAGAAUACAUCUUCACUGUUUCCUCUGUCUAAUUUCCUCAAGCUAGACUGCAUGAAUGUUCUGGAAGACAGUGUUCUAACACUUCAGAACCCCGGAGUCCAACUCCCUGAUAACGACCCUGGCUCUCUGGCUUGCUAGCUCUGUGAUCUUGGGCAAGUUACAAAGCCUUUGGUAACAAAAAUGCCUGCCUCCUGGGGCUGUUGGGAGGAUCGUAUGCAAUACUAUGUGUAGGCCAGGUGAGGCGGCUCAUGCCUGUAAGCUCAGCACUUUGGGGGCUGAAGUGGGCAGAUCACGAGGACAAGAGAUUGAGACCAUCCUGGCCAAAAUGGUGAAACCCUGUCUCUAAUAAAAACCCCAAAAUCA